rnacentral:rRNA from 1 species
AGUGUACAAUCUGUUGAAAGAAUCUGGGAAGAGGCUAAAAAGCAAAUUGCCAAUGGCAAAGAAGUAGAUGUCUCAAGCAAGAAGCCAGGAAGUUCUGGCCGAAAGAGAAAGGAGCUGGAUCUAGAGAGGACCUCAACAAUCCCACUGAAUAAAAGAAGAACAAUUCGAUCUCUGGAACGGUCUCUAGGUGUGGCCCGAUCGACCCUACAUAAGAGGUUUCAGUUGAAUGAGCUCAACCACAUCACAAGCACCGUGAAGCCUCACCUCAAGCUAGAGAACAAGCUUGCGAGAUUGAAAUUUUGUAUGUCCAUGGUCGAUGAAAAUUCGAUCUCAACUUCUCGGGCUAUGUUAAAACCAAUGACGAAUAUGGUUCACAUCGACGAGAAGUGGUUUGACAUGACGAGAGUGAAGAAUAGUUACUAUGUACUUCCAGGAGAACCUGAACCGAAGCGCACCUUGUCAAACACUCACAGCAUUGGGAAGGUAAUGUUCCUAACAGCUGUUGCUAGGCCUCGAUAUAACAAUGAGGGGGAGCUAACAUUCGAUGGGAAUAUCGGCAUUUGGGCAUUCGUCGAAGAGACUGAGGCGAAGCGGACAAGUCAGAACAGAAAAAGGGAACAAAAGUGUUGA